rnacentral:misc_RNA from 1 species
GUUAGUGGAUUUAGUUGGGUGUAGGUAAAUAUAAGUACCUAAUGAUAAAAAAUUACAAUGUGUGGUAGAGACCCCUAAAACGUAACGGAAAAUUCUGAAAAAAAAAAAAAUUACAACUGUUUUUUUUUUAUGCGCAGAGAACAUUUUUAGAGGUUGCCACAUAGAAUAUUUAAUUAAAUAAAAUAAGGAUCAGCCUAAAAAGCAUAAAACUCUACUACAUACUUAAGUACAUAAGUACUUAUUUGGCGCGACGACCCAAAGUGAGUCUUGGCCUCCAACACAAGAGCACGCCACUUUACGCGGUCCAGAGCGACCUUCCGCCAGCCCUGACGACAACAUUGACGCUGAGUCUAUCUGCCCAACGAUAUUUAGGAUGGCCAGCAGAAGUCCAGUUGGACAACCCAGAUAGGCCUUCUAGACUGCCUGAUCCUCAGCCUUACAAUCAAUUGCCGGUGCAUCAAAAAGCAGCUGCAGCUCCAGCCGUCCAGUGUACAAUAAAGAUGGCGUCGCUGUUUCCAAAAUCGACUUCCAAUCGAGCUACAAACCAAUAUCAGUAAAAAAUACUGAAACAGAC